CUUAAUUUCACCCACUGUAGGAAAGAAAAUUUAAAUCCUUUCUAAGAGAGGAGGCUAAAAUUCAUGGCAAGAAUAAGGAUCCGGACCAGAUUAAUUUGGGUGGGAGUUCUAGAGCCUGGGAAGUCCAAGAUCAAGGUGCCAACAUUUUCUUUUCUUUUUUACUUUUUGAAAUGUAGUCUUGCUGUGUUGCCAGGCUGGAGUGCAGUGGUAUAAUCUUGGCCCACUGCAACCUCCGCCUCCUGGGUUCAAGUGAUUCUCCUGCCUCAGCCUCCUGAGUAGCUGGGACUGCAGUCAUGCACCACCAUACCCAGCUAAUUUUUGUAUUUUUAGUAGAGAUGGGGUUUCACCCUGUUGGCUGUUAUGGUCUUGAUCACUUGACCUUGUGGUCUGCCUGUCUUGACCUUCCAAAGUGCUGGGAUUACAGGCGUGAGCCACUGCACCCUGUCAAGGUGCCAGCAUCUUAUGAGGACCCUCUUGCUGUAUCAUCCUAUGGAAGAAGGUGAGGACAGUGAGACUCAGAGGGGUAAGAGACUUGCUCCAGGUCAUACGCAGCCCGUGAAUGGAAAGGCUGGGAGUUGAACCCCUGUGAGUCUUAGUCCAGAGUCGUCCACAUGGCUCUGGGCUCACAACUGCAGGCUCUGUGCCAUGUGCUGAGCAAGGUGCACAGAACUUCAUAAAACAUCAUUCUGGCCCUUGAGGAGUUGCAUCUAAAUAAAGAAGGGAGACGACCCUGCA
rnacentral:lncRNA from 13 species